CAAAAUAAAACCACUAAACGAUCUGCAGUCUCUUUUGGGAAAUCUCAAUUGGAUACGAUCCUUUUUUGGUUUCUCAACAGAUUUUUUAGCUCCUUUGUUUCAGCUCCUUAAGGGAGAAGCAGAACUAACUUCUCCUCGUCACUUGACACCAGAAGCAGAAAAUAUUAUUGAAGUGAUCAACCAAAACAUUUCAGAACAACAGGUAAACAGGAGAGUAGAAGGAUUACCUACUGCAUUGCUAAUCUUUCGUGGACCAAAACAGCCUUUUGCUGUAAUAGGACAAUUAGACUCAAAACCCAAAAAAUUUCUUUUGUGGGAAUGGGUAUUUCUCAGUCACCAGUUUUCAAAGACAAUUGUUACUGUGCCUGAAAUGCUUGCAAAAGUCUGUCACAAAGGCAAACUCCGAAUGUUAGAACUGUCAGGGAAAGACCCAGAUUUUCUUUAUGUUCCACUGUCCAAAUCUCAACUGUGUUAUCAUGAUUUACAUCUGUUUGAUUUUCAACUGGUUAUGUCAGAUUUUACAGGCAAACUGAUAACCCAUCUACCAGCAAUUCCUUUUCUGCAGUUUCUUUCCAUCUCUCAACCCAGACUGAGAAAUAACUUUUCUACUAGCCCUUUGAAGAAAGCUGUGACAGCCUUCACAGACGGCUCAGGGAGGUCUAGUAAUGCAGUGGUAGCCUGGUUUGAAAAAGGAGAAUGAAAAACAGAUGUUCAUCAAGUUGAAGGUUCAUCUCAGAUUGCUGAACUCUCAGCCGUGGAGCAGGUCCAAGAUGGAUACCGUCCAGACUAGUGAGGAUCCACCAAGAAGUUUCCCUCCCAGCUCAACCAGCAGCAGAUCCAGCACCAGCGGAUUCAGCACCAGCUACAGGAAGCGAUCCCCCAUCAGCAUCACUUUCGGGAUAAUCCUGGUUUUGUGUGCAGCAUAACACCAGCAAAUCAGAAAGACCUAACAUCAGGAGCCCUUGCCACACCUCCUCCAACAAUUCCAAAUUGGGUAAUGCUCCCUGGUCAAAAUGUUUGGCUAAACCUGGCACAAUCACUAAAUACUGACUCUAUCUGUCUCUCUA